rnacentral:rRNA from 1 species
GACGAACGCUGACGGUGUGCUUUAGACAUGCAAGUCGAGCGGUAAGGCCCCUUCGGGGGUACACGAGCGGCGAACGGGUGAGUAACACGUGGGUGACCUGCCCUCAGCUCUGGGAUAAGCCUGGGAAACUGGGUCUAAUACCGGAUAUGACUCCAUGACGCAUGUCGUGGGGUGGAAAGCCUUGUGCGGCUGGGGAUGGGCCCGCGGCCUAUCAGCUUGUUGGUGGGGUGAUGGCCUACCAAGGCAACGACGGGUAGCCGGCCUGAGAGGGCGACCGGCCACACUGGGACUGAGACACGGCCCAGACUCCUACGGGAGGCAGCAGUGGGGAAUCUUGCGCAAUGGGCGAAAGCCUGACGCAGCGACGCCGCGUGAGGGAUGACGGCCU